rnacentral:tRNA from 1 species
GGGGUUGUAGCUCAGUGGUAGAGUACUCGCCUCACAUGAGUGAGGCCCUGGGUUCAAUCCUCAGCACCACA